rnacentral:rRNA from 1 species
CAGCAGCCACGGGAAUACAGAGGGUGCAAGCGUUAAUCGGAUUUACUGGGCGUAAAGCGUGUGUAGGUGGCUGUUCAAGUCGGUUGUGAAAGCCCUGGGCUCAACCUGGGAAUUGCUUCCGAGACUGAGCGGCUAGAGUACGGUAGAGGGCGGUGGAAUUUCCGGUGUAGCGGUGAAAUGCGUAGAUAUCGGAAGGAACACCAAUGGCGAAGGCAGCCGCCUGGGCCUGUACUGACACUGAGACACGAAAGCGUGGGGAUCAAACAGGAUUAGAUACCCCAGUAGUCCCUGUCUCUUAUAC